rnacentral:rRNA from 1 species
GGAGGGGGCAAGCGUUACUCGGAAUUAUUGGGCGUAAAGGGCGCGUAGGCGGCCGUGCGCGUCAGAGGUGAAAUCCCCGGGCUUAACCCGGGAACUGCCUCUGAUACGGCAUGGCUUGAGUCCGGGAGAGGGGAGCAGAAUUCCCAGUGUAGCGGUGAAAUGCGUAGAUAUUGGGAGGAAUACCAGUGGCGAAGGCGGCUCCCUGGACCGGUACUGACGCUGAGGCGCGAAAGCGUGGGUAGCAAACAGGAUUAGAUACCCUGGUAGUCCACGCCGUAAACGAUGGGUGCUUGGUGUCGGGGGUAUCGACCCCUCCGGUGCCGAAGCUAACGCAUUAAGCACCCCGCCUGGGGAGUACGGUCGCAAGGCUG